AGUGAACGCUGGCGGUAGGCCUAACACAUGCAAGUCGAACGGCAGCACAGUAAGAGCUUGCUCUUACGGGUGGCGAGUGGCGGACGGGUGAGGAAUACAUCGGAAUCUACUUUUUCGUGGGGGAUAACGUAGGGAAACUUACGCUAAUACCGCAUACGACCUACGGGUGAAAGCAGGGGAUCUUCGGACCUUGCGCGAUUGAAUGAGCCGAUGUCGGAUUAGCUAGUUGGCGGGGUAAAGGCCCACCAAGGCGACGAUCCGUAGCUGGUCUGAGAGGAUGAUCAGCCACACUGGAACUGAGACACGGUCCAGACUCCUACGGGAGGCAGCAGUGGGGAAUAUUGGACAAUGGGCGCAAGCCUGAUCCAGCCAUACCGCGUGGGUGAAGAAGGCCUUCGGGUUGUAAAGCCCUUUUGUUGGGAAAGAAAAGCAGCAGGUUAAUACCCCGCUAUUCUGACGGUACCCAAAGAAUAAGCACCAGCUAACUUCGUG
rnacentral:rRNA from 1 species